rnacentral:rRNA from 1 species
AUUGAACGCUGGCGGCAGGCUUAACACAUGCAAGUCGAGCGGGGUGAUGGUGCUUGCACUAUCACUUAGCGGCGGACGGGUGAGUAAUGCUUAGGAAUCUGCCCAUUAGUGGGGGACAACAUCUCGAAAGGGAUGCUAAUACCGCAUACGUCCUACGGGAGAAAGCAGGGGAUGAUUUGUGACCUUGCGCUAAUAGAUGAGCCUAAGUCGGAUUAGCUAGUUGGUGGGGUAAAGGCCUACCAAGGCGACGAUCUGUAGCGGGUCUGCGAGGAUGAUCCGCCACACUGGGACUGAGACACGGCCCAGACUCCUACGGGAGGCAGCAGUGGGGAAUAUUGGACAAUGGGGGGAACCCUGAUCCAGCCAUGCCGCGUGUGUGAAGAAGGCCUUAUGGUUGUAAAGCACUUUAAGCGAGGAGGAGGCUCUUUUGGUUAAUACCCAAGAUGAGUGGACGUUACUCGCAGAAUAAGCACCGGCUAACUCUGUGCCAGCAGCCGCCGUAA